CCUGGGGAAGAGGCAGGGAAGAAAACCAGAGUUACCACGGGGAAUGCCGAAGCCCAGUUCCUAACGGAGGCCCCUUUUCACACAAAUCACUAUGUAUACUUGGCUGGCCCAGGACUCGCUCUGUAGACCAGGCUGUCUUAGAACUCACGCCUGCUUCUCUGCCUCCUGAGUGUUGGGAAUAAAGGUCCACAAGAUUCAGGAAAACCUUUGUCAAGAGUCAGACCUCUGAACAGAAAGCCAAGCAAAACAAAUGCUUCUAAACAGAAUCCAAACAGAGUGCAGACAAACCCUGUGGGUCAUUCAGGCCUUCCCUCUGCACAUGCGUUUGUGCGUGCGUGUGAGGCUGUGCUCCCACUCUGGCCCUGCUUCCCAAGGUGCUGCCUGUCGUCUGAGUAUGGGAAGCUCUCUGAAGAGAGGGCUUCUCUUCCUAACAGGGAAGAGCUAUGGACAGUGUGUCGACACACAGACAUAAGCAUCAUACCAG